CUCUGACACGGGGUUGACUCACUCUGUGUUAACUCUGACAAGGGGUUGACUCACUCUGUGCUCCCUCUGACAAGGGGGGACCACUCUUUGCUCCCUCUGACAAGGGGGUGACACACUACUCUCCCACCAAUGAAAGGAGCAGAGUAGAGAGCUGACUGCUUUUCUGGUGGCAUGUGGAAAACACACUGUGGGCAUGAGUAGUUGUCUGCACUGCUGUCCUCAUACGAGACACUCUGCCUGGGGUUUGGAGACCCACUAUUUUUAUUUUUUUUUAAGCGGGUGCAAUAGUCAGUUUCUAUUAGAGAAUGGUGUUUUUCUAGGUGGCUACUAGCAUGGUGGGUCGGUACGUACUCCUAUGCUGUUGGCAAAGGUUAGGGAAUUUUGCAUACUGGAACAUACUUCCUGUAGCCGCCACUUGUGAGGUGAGGUGGUACAAUACAUACUGUAUUGGUGGAAGACCUUGCAUAGAGUGACCUAUACUGUCCUGCCAUUUUCCGGUGGGAUUUAUACUGUUUUGAUGCUUUUUGAAGGUCUUUAAAUUCCAUUUGGCUGCCACAGGAGUGUCAACUGAUCAGCCACCAUUAAAACACACAUACUAAUAUGUUGUGGGACACAAAAUGAUAUGCCAUUAGCAUGUUGGACACACACUCUUGACAUUGCCGUACACACUGAUCAGCACAAAGGGAUGAUGCACAGGGGUAGACCUGCCGUACCAUAUUUCGGGACACAUUGCUGUAUCACUUUUAUGAGGGAGACACACUGACAGAGGCAUUCACCAAAGUGUGAAUUGUCAGGACUUCAAAGUGAAUUUUCAGUUUUCAGCCAUCAGCACAGAGGCAUUCGUUAACACACGGCAGAACACAAUGUUCUGCAUUUGCUUCACAGUUAGUACAUGCAAGCUCAUUUUUAAACACACAAUGCUAGUGAAAAUGUAGUAAAACUAAAAAAUUUGGAAAAUUCUCUAUCUUCGCUAUAGCCACA